rnacentral:rRNA from 1 species
GACGAACCGUGCGAACGUUGUUCGGAAUCACUGGGCUUAAAGGGCGCGUAGGCGGGCAUUCAAGUCGGUGGUGAAAUCCUCCAGCUUAACUGGAGAAGAGCUGUCGAUACUGGAUGUCUCGAGGGGUGCAGGGGUCUGCGGAACUUCGGGUGGAGCGGUGAAAUGCGUAGAGACCCGAAGGAACGCCGGUGGCGAAGGCGGCAUCCUGGACCGGCAUUGACGCUGAGGCGCGAAAGCUAGGGGAGCAAACGGG